GACGAACGCUGGCGGCGUGCUUAACACAUGCAAGUCGAACGAAGAGCGAUGGAAGCUUGCUUCUAUCAAUCUUAGUGGCGAACGGGUGAGUAACGCGUAAUCAACCUGCCCUUCAGAGGGGGACAACAGUUGGAAACGACUGCUAAUACCGCAUACGAUCUAAUCUCGGCAUCGAGGAUAGAUGAAAGGUGGCCUCUACAUGUAAGCUAUCACUGAAGGAGGGGAUUGCGCCUGAUUAGCUAGUUGGAGGGGUAACGGCCCACCAAGGCGAUGAUCAGUAGCCGGUCUGAGAGGAUGAACGGCCACAUUGGGACUGAGACACGGCCCAGACUCCUACGGGAGGCAGCAGUGGGGAAUCUUCCGCAAUGGACGAAAGUCUGACGGAGCAACGCCGCGUGAGUGAUGACGGUCUUCGGGUUGUAAAGCUCUGUUAAUCGGGACGAAAGGCCUUCUUGCGAAUAGUGAGAAGGAUUGACGGUACCGGAAUAGAAAGCCACGGCUAACUACGUG
rnacentral:rRNA from 1 species